CAGUCGCCGCGGUAAUACGGAGGGUGCAAGCGUUAUCCGGAUUUAUUGGGUUUAAAGGGUCCGUAGGCGGACUUAUAAGUCAGUGGUGAAAGCCUGUCGCUUAACGAUAGAACUGCCAUUGAUACUGUAAGUCUUGAGUAUAUUUGAGGUAGCUGGAAUAAGUAGUGUAGCGGUGAAAUGCAUAGAUAUUACUUAGAACACCAAUUGCGAAGGCAGGUUACCAAGAUAUAACUGACGCUGAGGGACGAAAGCGUGGGUAGCGAACAGGAUUAGAUACCCGGGUAGUCCCUGUCUCUUAUAA
rnacentral:rRNA from 1 species